ACGUAGCAGAUUUUUUGAUAGUCGUAAUUAAAUAUUUUGGAUAGAUUUAAUUUUUGAAUGAAACACUUCCUUCUCGUUCAUUGCAUUAUCUGUUGCACUUCAAAUGCACAUAUUUAUGUUUAUCUGUUGUAGGGUUGCCAUACAACAAGUAUUAUUCGAAAUUGUAGGUAUUUUGGCUGUCAUUCCAGGAAAACUUUGUAUAGUUUUGAUAUACUUUAAGUAUUGAUUUUUGGAAAAUAUAAUAUUUUAGAGACAUGAUAACAAAUGUUAUCAUAGGUUUUUUAAGGCUGUUCUGGAAUGAUAUUUGUUAGGUUUUGUUUACUUCAAGGUCUGAUACAGAAACUGGAGUAAUUUUCAUUUAAUGAAUUAGAGUAUUUUAUUGUUUAUUCGUUUGCCACCCGGCUUUUGUUUUGGGUCCUUUAAAUUCGAGAUCAUUCAGUGCGCCGUUCUUUCUGUGACGAGAUCCUCUUGUAUAGUGAUCGGACGGCCGUAUAAGGGCCUGGAGCCCGGCAUGCCACGUGCUGCCGUGGCGUUCCAUAUUUUGUGUGGUGCGUUCUGUCAGUCUGACUGGCAGAAACAUGCUAAGGGUGGGAGUGCUCCUUGGAGAUCCUCGGUCUGCAGUCUGCAGGUCUCCGGUGAGCUCGCUUACAUUUUUUUGUUUAGUCUAUCACAGUGUGUGAGGGCACUCGACUAAUGUGACCAAUUUAUUUGUUUCAUAGGAGUCGGGAAGAAGUAAAGAAUUAGAGAAUUGCAGAAGUAGAUAAUUAAACAAGAACCUUUACAAUUUCGAUGUGCAAGGAAACUUCUUUGGCUUACUGGCGCAAGGUGUCUUUGGACCUUGUUUUCGUAUGGAAGGGUCAGCCCUGUCCACGUGGCGAGGGGGCGUCAGCACCGGAGUCCGGGGAGCUGCCGGCUCAUCCCUGACAAGGUGUGUCUCCUGCCCGUUUCCUGCCGGUAGUGCUGUGUAAUUCAGGUUUUUAAUUUCUGUGUAAAGUAAUUUCUGAUUUCAUUUAUUUUGAGAAUUCUGGUGCAUAACUUUAGGUAAAUUCCGAUUUAGUUUUGUAGAAUAAAUGAUUGUAAGAAACCUUUUCCUGGACCCUCUUAAAGCGGCCCAGCUUUACCACUGAGCGUAGUUCAUAUUUUUAUAUGGUGUCUAAUUUAGUAUUUUGGGAAACAUUAAAUGAAACCUUUCUGUAAGGCAAGAUUUAGUUAUAAUAAAUAUAUAAAAUGUUA